rnacentral:rRNA from 1 species
CGUGUCGUGAGAUGUUGGGUUAAGUCCCGCAACGAGCGCAACCCUUGACCUUAGUUGCCAGCAUUGAGUUGGGCACUCUAAGGUGACUGCCGGUGACAAACCGGAGGAAGGUGGGGAUGACGUCAAAUCAUCAUGCCCCUUAUGGCCUGGGCUACACACGUGCUACAAUGGAUGGUACAAAGGGCUGCGAGACCGCGAGGUUAAGCCAAUCCCAGAAAACCAUUCCCAGUUCGGAUUGCAGGCUGCAACUCGACUGCGUGAAGCUGGAAUCGCUAGUAAUCGCGGAUCAGCAUGCCGCGGUGAAUACGUUCCCGGGCCUUGUACACACCGCCCGUCACACCACGAGAGUUUGUAACACCCGAAGUCGGUGAGGUAACCUUUUAGGAGCCAGCCGCCGAAGGUGGGACAGAUGAUUGGGGU